rnacentral:lncRNA from 1 species
AUCACAAGCUGAGAUAAUGGUAGACCACAGGUAUGAAGUUUACGGCAUGCAAUGCCUUAAGAGAGAAUAUUAUGAAAAUGAUAUACAGGUGGUACAUAACCCCAGUCAAGCUUGCAAAAAUCUACCAUUUGCCCGAUAAUAAAUGUUGGAAAUGUAAAGAAACUGAAGGUACAUUCUUUCACCUUUGGUGGACGUGCCCAAGGAUUAAGGUUUUCUGGGAGAUGAUUUAUAAUGAAUUAAAAAAGGUUUUUAAAUAUACCUUCUUGAAGAAACCAGAGGCCUUCCUCCUGGGCAUAGUCGGCCAAUCGGUGUUAAAGAAAGACAGAACUUUCUUUAUGUAUGCUACAACAGCAGCAAGAAUACUUUUUGCAAAGCAUUGGAAGACGCAAGACCUACCCACACUGGAGGAAUGGCAGAUGAAAAUGAUGGACUACAUGGAAUUGGCGGAAAUGACUGGCAGAAUCCGAGACCAGGGAGAAGAGUCGGUGGAAGAAGAUUGGAAGAAAUUUAAAGACUACUUACAGAAAUAUUGUAAAAUUAAUGAAUGUUAGAAUGAUGUUGGAUUGAAGUUAAGUGGUUUCUAGCUGUAAUGGUAUAAAAGAAUAUGGAAAAAUUGGAUUUUUAAUACGUAAAAACCUAAUGCUAUAAUAUAUUAAGAUUAAAGAUCAGGAUUAAAAAGGAGGGAAAGGAAUUGCUGGACUAAUAAAUCAAACUGGAAUACAAAAAAGGGAGGUAUGAGGAGGUCCGGGAAACAAGUAAAUGAAAGAGAAGUGAUGAAAAGAUGGAAUUGUUUUUAAUUGUUUUUUUUUUUGUAUUUUGUAUUUUUCUUUUUUCUAUUUUUCUCUUUCUUAUUUAUGUACCCUUCUUUUGAAACCUUAAUAAAUAUCAUUUUUUUAAAAAAAAGAGAUAAUGGUAGAACAAAACUUUAUCCUUGAUGAGGUAUUGAAGCCUGCAGAGAGUAGUAAUAUAUUUAUCCAGCCAGGCCUCUUGGGCCAUAGAUAAUUUUUAGCUCAUUGCAGAGAAUUUGUUGAUAAUAGUGGAAAGAGAAUAUAAGAAGGGAUGGCCACGGUUUAGAAGAAUUAAGAUAUCAUGUGGGAUGUUGCGGUCCUUAGACACUUACUCCAUCACUUAAGUGAAGAUGCUGAAGAAGAUUAGAGAUGGAGACUUGGAUGCAAAAUAAUUGAAAAUGAGAUGAGUCAAUGUGAAAGAAAAUUUAGCUAUAGUGAGUAGUUAACAAAAUAUUCAUUCUAUUUCCAUCUCAGCAUCUCUAGGGUAGACUAUUUUGAUAUUAACACCAAGGUAUUUCAAAUUAUUGUAUUUUCCAUAGCUCUGUCUCCCUGUUUCAAAAAUCUAUAGUGUGAAUGCCACCAAAUAACAGGCAUUUGCUUGUGCUAAUACAAGUUAUUUCUCCAGUUUCUGUGCUGGAAAGGACCUGUUGCAAUCAGCAGCAUUUUCUUGUAAAAAUAUAGCCCCCAAUUUCCUUUGUUCAUGGAACAGCAAGAAAUAGGUUAUAUUUGUCGGUAGUUACAUAAACUGAAAGAAAGGGCUCAGGAAAGCUUGACAGACGCACAAGUAAUUACAUGUUUUGUGUUUUGACUCAUAUUAUACAGGCUGAUGACUUGUUCUGGCUGAAGGCCCAUCAUAAGUACAAAAAUAAGCACUUCAGACACAUUCAUUCUGCACAACAGACGGAAAUUAGCGAACCUUUCUUGAGAAGGCAUCGCCUUCCUCCCACACAUCCUCUGCCACCUUCCAUCUCCCCUUGAACCGAAGUAAACCAGAACUGAAUAUGCUCAGACUCCUCGUAUUAUCCAUAAAUAAUCAGGAGCAGCUACCUGGUAGCCCAGAAGGCAAAUCUAACCCACAAAGGGCCUUCAUCUGGCUCCUAGGAGACCUGAUUUUUUUUAACCAAUGUUAACCACUUUGCUCACAGUUCAGCUCCUGAAGAAAAGAAGCAAGGAUUGGGCCAUGUCAUGUUUAUUAUAUUGCUAUAGUCACAGCACCAUGGUUGAUCUGUUUCUUUGGGGCAGCAGAAAGACAGGUCAAGAUGGAGGAUGGAGAGUUGCAGCAAUGAUGAGCAACAUGUAAUUGCCCAUGACUUCCGGGGUGGCGCCAUCGGCAAUGGCGGACUCCCUCCGAACUAGAGGGACCAGCUCUGCAUGAAACGGGUCUUUUCCGCUGCGGCGAAGCGGGGACCCUUCUGGAAAUCACAGGAGGAUGAAGCCUGUGACCGUGGGACUCGGCGGGCACCCUUAGCACCCCCCCAACCCGCAAAGGAACCCACAAACGGGCUCUGAAGCGAAGAGGAGGAAGUGGCGCGGUGCUGUGAGUCAAUCGCUUUUCCUGCGGAGCGAAGCCGCAUAGCCGUUGCCGGAGAGCGCUGCCUUUUUCCUGGGACAAUUUGGCAUCUAAAAUAACCAACCGUGAGUACUGGAACAUUGAAUAUCUGGACUUUAAAUAAGAACUGGAGAAAUAGAAAGGAAUUUGGACUUAAAAAUUUACCCUAAUUUGGUACUGAAACGGAAAGGUUUAAACAGGAAGUCAGCCUUCCGUUUCCCUGUAGCCAGAACAAAGCAAAGACAACGCAAACUAGAGCUUUAAAAAUCACUCUUAAAGGAUUGACUUUCAUCAUUUAAAAUCGCUGAAUCCCCCUUCGGUAGCAGGAGAAGAAGGGGGGAGCUUUUUUCGAGCUGUUCAAACCUGCAGAAGUGAAUCUAAAGCAAAGUAAUUUUCCACCGUCCUGAUCCUGGAGCGGGGUGUCAGAAUUGACGUUUGAAGCUCACUGACCAGAAACAAAUGUCUUUGACAGAUAGUUAAAAGAAGAGAAACAUAGUGACUCCAUUGUUCCCUUUCACAUCUUAAAAGAACAAAUAUGGACAAAAUAUAUUAAAAAAGAAACUUUGUUGCUAUUGUUUUUAAGAGAAAGAACAAUCAGAAGUUUUUCCCCCUAGAGGGGAACUGUGAAAUUGUAACUAAUCCCUGGGAGCUUGCAGCUGUCACUGAUUACAACCGUGGGAAAGGGUUUGUGACCUUGCAGGACAAUGUCUGCAGAAGCACUGUUGGGUGCUUUCUGCAAAAUAAAUGCCCUAUUGGAUCAGUUAAGCCAGAAGACGGAUUUGAUGACGAAUGCGGCCAGAACCUUUGAACAGGUAGUGGGAAACUAUAUGGAGCCCACCCAGGAACUAAAACAGGAGCGUGCCAUGACAGAACAGCUGAGAGAUGAGGAUUCUGCUGAAUCUUGGGCGCCAGAGACGGAAGGAGCUGCGGCCCAGCAGGAAUAUAAAUUUUUGGAUUUGACAAAUGAACUUGGAAAAGACCAGACUUGGAAAGAAAAAAUUUGGUUUGGUUUGGAAAUGGGGGUGGGGGGUGGGGUGGAUAGAUACAGGGAGAUUUGGACUUUUCGAGUCUGGAAAGGGGCCGUCAGAUGUCUGAAGCAGUGGGGGCUUUCAACUUUGAAGGAAAUCUGGAACAUGUUUUUAAAUACUACAUCGAGUCUAGUCUGGACUAUGGAAAAGGGGCUGUUUUGUUGAAAAGGGUCAAAAACAUUACCAAGCUGGAGUUCCCACGAAUAAAAGGAAAACAUGAAGAAGAGCGGUGGAAGGGACAUGGAAGAGACUUGAAGGCCUCGGAUAUAAGAUUGCCAGGUUAAUGUGCUAGAUUAAUAGGACAAAAAGGACUGACAAAACCCGGGACCAGGAGGAAGGGACGCUGGAGGAAGUUUGGAUUGCUUAAGUUUCUAUUUCUAUCAUUAGGACUGUUUAACAAAAUUGAUGAAUGUUAGGAAAAUGUUGAAAUGAAAUUACUUGGCUCUUAUAAAAAUGUUUAAAGAAUUAGGUAAGAAUGUUAUGGUUAGGAGAAGUUGGUAAAAUUAAGAUUUAAGUUUUAAACUUUUUUAUAUAUAAGAUAAGAUGAAAAUAGACUAAGGUAAUGUAAGGACAGAAUAUUAUGAAUUAUGGAAAGGAUUUGCUGUGACUAUUAUAAAUCAGGAUACAGGAAAAGGGAGGAGGAGGAGGUCAAGGAAAGAAGGUAUUGAAAGUGGAGAAUUGGAGAAUGAUGGUUUUCUUUUUCUUUUUCUUUUUUUUUGUCUUGUUUCUUUUUUUGUGUAAUUUUUAAAAAUUUCUCAAUAAAUAUCAUUUUAAAAAACAACAACAACAUGUAAUUGCCCAUAAGACAUAGACAAGAUGGAGGUGAUGUUGACAGGAAAUGGUCAUGGUUUGGAGGGAAUCAGCCUGCCUGUGGUUGUUGUCUCUGAUUAGCCUGGGGGUUCUCCUUGAUGGAGAAGCGGGCUGGAGUUGUUGACAGAAGUACCUUCAAAUAUAGUUUACUCAUUAGGAGGUUUUUGAUUCAUUAGGAAGCAUUUCCGUUUUUCCGGGCAAGCGAGAACUUGUUAUGUUGAUCCAUACUUCUGUAACUUCCAGGCUUGAUUACUGAAAUGGGCUUCACUUGGAGCUGCCCUUGAAGACUACUCUGAAGCCUGAGCUGAUGCAGAAUGCUGCUGAUCUUCUGACAGGUGCUACAAGGACCAUCACUCCAAUCUCUUCUGGACUGAUUGGAGUUCUUGUCCAAAAUGUUUGAAAGGCACCAGCUUGGUGAAUGCUGCCUCACAGCUUCCCACGACCACAUAUUUGCCACCUAGCUCUAACAACUUCAUCGUCAUCUGGCUAUGUUCAGUAUUGCAG